GAGUUUGAUCCUGGCUCAGGAUGAACGCUAGCGGCAGGCUUAAUACAUGCAAGUCGUGGGGCAGCAUGAGUGUAGCAAUACAUUUGAUGGCGACCGGCAAACGGGUGCGGAACACGUACACAACCUUCCUUUAAGUGGGGAAUAGCCUAAGGAAACUUGGAUUAAUACCCCGUAACAUUAUGGAGUGGCAUCACUUUAUAAUUAUAGCUCCGGCGCUUAAUGAUGGGUGUGCGGCUGAUUAGAUAGUUGGCGGGGUAACGGCCCACCAAGUCUGCGAUCAGUAACUGGUGUGAGAGCACGACCAGUCACACGGGCACUGAGACACGGGCCCGACUCCUACGGGAGGCAGCAGUAAGGAAUAUUGGUCAAUGGACGCAAGUCUGAACCAGCCAUGCCGCGUGGAGGAUGAAGGCCCUCUGGGUUGUAAACUUCUUUUAUCUGGGACGAAAAAGGGCUUUCUAGUUCAACUGACGGUACCAGAGGAAUAAGCACCGGCUAACUCCGUGCCAGCAGCCGCC
rnacentral:rRNA from 1 species